CCCUACGGGGCGCAGCAGUGAGGAAUAUUGGUCAAUGGCCGGAAGUCUGAACCAGCCAUGCCGCGUGCAGGAUGACGGCUCUAUGAGUUGUAAACUGCUUUUGUACGAGAGUAAUAGUUCUUACGUGUAGGGAUUUGCAUGUAUCGGACGAAUAAGGAUCGGCUAACUCCGUGCCAGCAGCCGCGGUAAUACGGAGGAUUCGAGCGUUAUCCGGAUUUAUUGGGUUUAAAGGGUGCGUAGGCUGUUGGUUAAGUUAGCGGUAAAAUUUCGGGGCUGAACCCCGUGCCUGCCUUU
rnacentral:rRNA from 1 species